CCUACGGGGUGCAGCAGUGGGGAAUAUUGCACAAUGGGCGCAAGCCUGAUGCAGCCAUGCCGCGUGCAUGAAGAAGGCCUUCGGGUUGUAAAGUACUUUCAGCGGGGAGGAAGGCGAUAAGGUUAAUAACCUUGUCGAUUGACGUUACCCGCAGAAGAAGCACCGGCUAACUCCGUGCCAGCAGCCGCGGUAAUACGGAGGGUGCAAGCGUUAAUCGGAAUUACUGGGCGUAAAGCGCACGCAGGCGGUCUGUCAAGUCGGAUGUGAAAUCCCCGGGCUCAACCUGGGAACUGCAUUCGAAACUGGCAGGCUGGAGUCUUGUAGAGGGGGGUAGAAUUCCAGGUGUUGCGGUGAAAUGCGUAGAGAUCUGGAGGAAUACCGGUGGCGAAGGCGGCCCCCUGGACAAAGACUGACGCUCAGGUGCGAAAGCGUGGGGAGCAAACAGGAUUAGAUACCCUCGUAG
rnacentral:rRNA from 1 species